AAAUGGCGAAGGGGUGGCCAUGCAGGGGAGCUUUCAAAUGCCCUAAGGAACAGCUGUGCUAGAGAAUCUAACGUGUGCCUUCGCUUUUGUAGGAGGAAAAUGCCCAGAGCUAACCCUGCCCUCUAAUCUAGAGGACUCCCUGUACAUCUGCAGUGGCUGCUUCCAAAGCCGCAAGCCCAGCUGACGUCUCCGUGGAGGGCCGCAGAGCUGCUGUCGCCGUGUUCACGCGUUCCCCUGGGGGCGCAUCUGUUUAUUUUUAAAUAAAGAUUUUAGUUUUUUACAAUAAUGUUUA